rnacentral:rRNA from 1 species
UACGUAGGCAGCAAGCGUUGUUCGGAGUUACUGGGCGUAAAGGGUGCGUAGGCGGCCCUGUAAGUAUGGUGUGAAAUCUCCCGGCUUAACUGGGAGGGUGCGCUAUAGACUGCGGGGCUCGAGUGUGGGAGAGGAAAGUGGAAUUCCUGGUGUAGCGGUGAAAUGCGUAGAUAUCAGGAGGAACACCGGUGGUGUAAACGGCUUUCUGGACCAUAACUGACGCUGAGGCGCGAAAGCAUGGGGGAGCGAACGGGG